GAUGAACGCUGGCGGCGUGCCUAAUACAUGCAAGUCGAGCGAACGGACGAGAAGCUUGCUUCUCUGAUGUUAGCGGCGGACGGGUGAGUAACACGUGGAUAACCUACCUAUAAGACUGGGAUAACUUCGGGAAACCGGAGCUAAUACCGGAUAAUAUUUUGAACCGCAUGGUUCAAAAGUAAAAGACGGUCUUGCUGUCACUUAUAGAUGGAUCCGCGCUGCAUUAGCUAGUUGGUAAGGUAACGGCUUACCAAGGCAACGAUGCAUAGCCGACCUGAGAGGGUGAUCGGCUACACUGGAACUGAGACACGGUCCAGACUCCUACGGGAGGCAGCAGUAGGGAAUCUUCCGCAAUGGGCGAAAGCCUGACGGAGCAACGCCGCGUGAGUGAUGAAGGUCUUCGGAUCGUAAAACUCUGUUAUUAGGGAAGAACAUAUGUGUAAGUAACUGUGCACAUCUUGACGGUACCUAAUCAGAAAGCCACGGCUAACUACGUG
rnacentral:rRNA from 1 species